UGAAUGAGCAACAUAACAUCUACAGGUGGUU
rnacentral:piRNA from 1 species